GACCUGAUAGCUUAAACUUAAAGUGAUAGUUUGAAGCACUAUAGAUAUCUCCUGAUUCGGGUCA
rnacentral:tRNA from 1 species